UGGGGAAUAUUGGUCAAUGGGCGCAAGCCUGAUCCAGCCAUACCGCGUGGGUGAAGAAGGCCUUCGGGUUGUAAAGCCCUUUUGUUGGGAAAGAAAAGCAGCUGGUUAAUACCCGGUUGUUCUGACGGUACCCAAAGAAUAAGCACCGGCUAACUUCGUGCCAGCAGCCGCGGUAAUACGAAGGGUGCAAGCGUUACUCGGAAUUACUGGGCGUAAAGCGUGCGUAGGUGGUUGUUUAAGUCUGUCGUGAAAGCCCUGGGCUCAACCUGGGAAUUGCGAUGGAAACUGGGCGACUAGAGUGUGGCAGAGGAUAGUGGAAUUCCUGGUGUAGCAGUGAAAUGCGUAGAGAUCAGGAGGAACAUCCGUGGCGAAGGCGACUGUCUGGGCCAACACUGACACUGAGGCACGAAAGCGUGGGGAGCAAACAGG
rnacentral:rRNA from 1 species